UAAAUUGCGUCACUCCCAGUAACGACUAUAUCCGAUAAUAUAAAUAUAUUAUUAAAUUAAGCUAUUCGAAUUGCUUCGAAAUAAUUUUAACUUCAAAAAUUUUUCGACGCCAUCCCCUUCUUUUCUUGCAAUAUUUUGAUGAUCUUACUUAGCUGUUCUAGCCAACCGAUGAAAGCUUGUUGCAUGUCGGCAAAUUCUUGAGGCAUCAAAGCUAAGCUUUGCAAAAUACUGUUGACGAAAAUUUCAUUCCGCUCUCGCAUUAACCGUAGUAAAUCUCUGCUAUCGUUUAUCUCGCCAUUCGUAAUGGAAAUUUGACGCCAUAAAUAACUAAUUUCAUUUUUAAUGGUGGAGCUGAGACUUGUCACCACUUCAAGUUGAAUGCUUGUCAUGUUUUUCUGGACUGUGUCGAAAUGUGUCUUCAGAAAAUCAAGCAAUUGCGCUGGCUGUUUAUGAGUUACUAUACUAUCCAUAUCUUGUGUGAGUGGCUUUGAAAAGCUUUGGCACUUGCUUAAAUUUUCAAAGCUAUCAUUUACCUUAUUGUAACUGCUAAUCAUUUCGCUAUGGAAUUGAUGCACUGAAAUUUCGUGGAUGUUGAGCCUUUUCAAAAUUUCCGCAGCAUCGGAAUGUACACUCUGCUCGACUUCUUGAAGGCGUAACGUGGUUUCAGUUUGUGCUAAAAACAGGUAUAUUAAGUUGGCACGCAGAAGGAGAUGUCGGACACACUACAACAUAUAUAUAUGUGUAUAUAAAUGAUCAGCGUGACGAGCUGAUCUCACUAAGAAGCUGAUCAUUUGUCGGAAGCGCCGAUAUUGGGCAACUACUUAUAACAUGUAGCUGUCAUACAAACUCAAGUUCUUAUAUGGAAAACUUUAUUAUUUGACAAGAUAUUCGGCAUAUAUUAUAUAUCCAAAGGCAUCGCUAUAAUCAUAUUGUUCAGUUUGGACCACUGCAGCAUAUAGCAUACAUACAAACUGACCGAUAAAAAUCGUGAUACAUUUUUUUUUAACACUUUUAUGCAAUAAACAAUGCACCUAUAGAGGGUAUUAUAGCUUCGGUGCAACC